ensembl:lncRNA
ACUCAGAUGUGGUCUUAAACUACUCAGAUUUAGUUUUAAACUACUCAGAUGUGGUCUUAAAAUACUCAGAUUUAGUUCUAAACUACUCAGAUGUGGUCUUAAACUAAUUGGAUUUAGUUUUAAACUACUCAGAUGUGGUCUUAAAAUACUCAGAUUUAGUUCUAAACUACUUGGAUGUGGUCUUAAACUACUUGGAUCUAGUUCUAAACUACUCAGAUGUGGUCUUAAACUACUCAGAUUUAGUUUUAAACUACUCAGAUGUGGUCUUAAAAUACUCAGAUUUAGUUCUAAACUACUUGGAUG